GGGGGGCUGUUUCCUGGGCCAGCUGUGAGCUCUGAAGGAAGAGGACGCUGUGUUCUGAGACGUCUCCGCGGGCUCAGCGAGGAGCCUGUCCCAGCCCCACUCCUCCUCCACGGCCCUGCAGGCCAGGCACAACAGCAACCGGCCCCAAGAUGGUGAGGCCCGGCUUCCAUGAGUCACCUGGCCCACAGCGAGCUUGCUGGGCGAUGUUAUCGGCUCCUCUGCUUACUUAAUCCCUUGGUUGACAUCACCACCACCUCCAUCCUUUCCUUCUCGGCACUGCAGCCUGCAGCCUGGCGUAUCCUGGAAGGGAAGGCGCUGGAGGGCUUUUGCCAGAAGCUACCAGGACAGCCACAAAAAAAGAUCUGAACGUUAUCCACCUUCCAAACACUCAAAACAUUGCGGUUCAGGAGGCAGCCCAAAUAUCCGAGCGCCCACAAGGAGAAACAAGCUUGACCUCCAUGCCAUCAUCAAGUUCCCCCUGACCACUGAGUCGGCCAUAAAGAAGAUAGAAGACAGCAGCACACCUGUGUUCAUUGUGGAGGUCAAGGCCAACAGGAUGUGAAGAAGCUCUAUGACUUUGACGUGGCCAAGGUCAUCACCCUGAUAAGGCCUGAUGGAGAGAAGAAGGCAUAUGUUCGACUGGCUCCUGACUAUGACGCUUUGGAUGUUGCCAACAAAAUUGGGAUCAUCUAAACUGAGUCCAGCUGACUAACCCUAACUAUAA